rnacentral:rRNA from 1 species
UGGGGAAUUUUGGACAAUGGGCGCAAGCCUGAUCCAGCCAUGCCGCGUGCGGGAAGAAGGCCUUCGGGUUGUAAACCGCUUUUGUCAGGGAAGAAAUCUUCUGAGUUAAUACCUCGGGAGGAUGACGGUACCUGAAGAAUAAGCACCGGCUAACUACGUGCCAGCAGCCGCGGUAAUACGUAGGGUGCAAGCGUUAAUCGGAAUUACUGGGCGUAAAGCGUGCGCAGGCGGUUUUGUAAGACAGAGGUGAAAUCCCCGGGCUCAACCUGGGAACUGCCUUUGUGACUGCAAGGCUUGAGUGCGGCAGAGGGGGGAUGGAAUUCCGCGUGUAGCAGUGAAAUGCGUAGAUAUGCGGAGGAACACCGAUGGCGAAGGCAAUCCCCUAGGCCUGCACUGACGCUCAUGCACGAAAGCGUGGGGAGCAAAACAGGAUUAGAUACCCUGGUAGUCCACGCCCUAAACGAUGUCAACUGGUUGUUGGGAAGGUUCCUUCUCAGUAACGUAGCUAACGCGUGAAGUUGACCGCCUGGGGAGUACGGCCGCAAGGUUGAAACUUAAAUGAAUUGACGGGGUCAUAGCUG